rnacentral:tRNA from 1 species
GGUGUUAUAUUCAUUUGAUGAUAUUAGAAUGCAAUUCUGAUGGUGAAACUUUUGUUUCUAAGGCCU